UGGAUCUGGUGGGGAAAGACAGACACCUGAGUAGUAUCAGGAGAAAGGAAUAGAGACGAUGUAUAAUGAACCAGUGACAAGUAUAGAUAUAGAAAAGCAUACCCUAACAACAAAUUCUGGAAAGCUGCUAAAGUAUGGAUCUCUAAUUGUUGCCACAGGGUGUACAGCCUCAAGGUUUCCAGAAAAAAAUUGGAGGAAACCUGCCUGGUGUUCACUAUAUCUGUGAUGUUGCCGAUGCUGAUGUGCUUAUAUCAUCUUUG